UACGGGGGGGGCAAGCGUUGUUCGGAAUUACUGGGCGUAAAGGGCUCGUAGGCGGCCAACUAAGUCAGACGUGAAAUCCCUCGGCUUAACCGGGGAACUGCGUCUGAUACUGGAUGGCUAGAGGUUGGGAGAGGGAUGCGGAAUUCCAGGUGUAGCGGUGAAAUGCGUAGAUAUCUGGAGGAACACCGGUGGCGAAGGCGGCAUCCUGGACCAAUUCUGACGCUGAGGAGCGAAAGCCAGGGGAGCAAACGAG
rnacentral:rRNA from 1 species